AUGCUCACUACAGCAACAUAUACACUAAAACUGGAACAACACAGAGACGAUUACGUGGCCCCUGAGCAAGGAUGACACAAAUCUGUGAAGCAGUCCAUAUUUUG